rnacentral:lncRNA from 1 species
UAGGGGGUAGGGAGAGCAUCUUAAAUGCUAGAGCAGAUGCAAAUGCGUGACGUGAACAGACAAUAUCCAGCACCUUUGAUGCCAUUGAGCUCUUCACAACAACAUUGGUGACGUCCUGGCAGAAUUCUAUUCUCGGCAGAUUAUCUAAGGGCCAAGAAUAAAGAUGAUGAAAAGGCAAAAACAUUCUCUCUCGUCGGCAUUGGUGGUGUGGUGUUCAUUCCUGUAUUCCCCAACAUUCAGUUAGGGGACCCUACGACGUAAAUAAGUGCUGUCUACCUGAAGUCUUCC